CCUACGGGUGGCAGCAGUGGGGAAUAUUGGGCAAUGGGCGCAAGCCUGACCCAGCAACGCCGCGUGAAGGAAGAAGGCUUUCGGGUUGUAAACUUCUUUUCUCAGGGACGAAGCAAGUGACGGUACCUGAGGAAUAAGCCACGGCUAACUACGUGCCAGCAGCCGCGGUAAUACGUAGGUGGCAAGCGUUAUCCGGAUUUACUGGGUGUAAAGGGCGUGGAGGCGGGAAAGCAAGUCAGAUGUGAAAACCAUGGGCUCAACCUGUGGCCUGCAUUUGAAACUGUUUUUCUUGAGUACUGGAGAGGCAGACGGAAUUCCUAGUGUAGCGGUGAAAUGCGUAGAUAUUAGGAGGAACACCAGUGGCGAAGGCAGCAUACCGGCGCUCAACUGACGCUCAUGCACGAAAGUGUGGGUAUCGAACAGGAUUAGAUACCCGAGUAGUC
rnacentral:rRNA from 1 species